CACGUAGGGCGCGAGCGUUGUCCGGAAUUAUUGGGCGUAAAGAGCUCGUAGGCGGCCUGUUGCGUCCGCUGUGAAAGCCCGGGGCUUAACCCCGGGUCGGCAGUGGAUACGGGCAGGCUAGAGGUAGGUAGGGGAGAAUGGAAUUCCCGGUGUAGCGGUGAAAUGCGCAGAUAUCGGGAGGAACACCGGUGGCGAAGGCGGCAUCCUGGACCGACAUUGACGCUGAACGGCGAAAGCUAGGGGAGCAAACGGG
rnacentral:rRNA from 1 species